UGGGGAAUUUUGGACAAUGGGCGAAAGCCUGAUCCAGCAAUGCCGCGUGUGUGAAGAAGGCCUUCGGGUUGUAAAGCACUUUUGUCCGGAAAGAAAUCCUUGGCUCUAAUACAGUCGGGGGAUGACGGUACCGGAAGAAUAAGCACCGGCUAACUACGUGCCAGCAGCCGCGGUAAUACGUAGGGUGCAAGCGUUAAUCGGAAUUACUGGGCGUAAAGCGUGCGCAGGCGGUUUGCUAAGACCGAUGUGAAAUCCCCGGGCUCAACCUGGGAACUGCAUUGGUGACCUGGCAGGCUAGAGUAUGGCAGAGGGGGGUAAAUUCCACGUGUAGCAGUGAAAUGCGUAGAGAUGUGGAGGAAUACCGAUGGCGAAGGCAGCCCCCUGGGCCAAUACUGACGCUCAUGCACG
rnacentral:rRNA from 1 species